AAGCGAGGCUGAAGGCGGUUCCCCCCCACCCCUUCAGCACUUCCGGUGAGUCACCUUGAGAAGACCCGCGGCCCGGCACCUCUUUGGGGUGUCGGGCCGCCUUCUUUU
rnacentral:sRNA from 17 species